GACGAACGCUGGCGGCGUGCUUAACACAUGCAAGUCGAACGGAAAGGCCCUGCUUUUGUGGGGUGCUCGAGUGGCGAACGGGUGAGUAACACGUGAGUAACCUGCCCUUGACUUUGGGAUAACUUCAGGAAACUGGGGCUAAUACCGGCUAGGAGCUCCUGCUGCAUGGUGGGGGUUGGAAAGUUUCGGCGGUUGGGGAUGGACUCGCGGCGUAUCAGCUUGGUGGUGGGGUAGUGGCUUACCAAGGCUUUGACGGGUAGCCGGCCUGAGAGGGUGACCGGCCACAUUGGGACUGAGAUACGGCCCAGACUCCUACGGGAGGCAGCAGUGGGGAAUAUUGCACAAUGGGCGGAAGCCUGAUGCAGCAACGCCGCGUGCGGGAUGACGGCCUUCGGGUUGUAAUCCGCUUUCGCCUGUGACGAAGCGUGAGUGACGGUAAUGGGUAAAGAAGCACCGGCUAACUACGUG
rnacentral:rRNA from 1 species